rnacentral:siRNA from 1 species
UCCCCUACUCUAUGUCAAUGAU